GUCAAGGAAACUAGCAAAGAUGACUAACGGAUCUAAACACUGUGGAACCUUAUUUGCACAUAUGGGGAUGUAGAUUGUUGCAAUUCCACAUCAAUACUUGUGCAUAAGAGAACAUUUGGAAUUCUUGCUUUCAGAAUAUAAUCCUGCUGCUGUGUUGUGGAAAGACUGAGGGAGGACAAUGACUUGCAUAUGGAAGGGACUUGUAUAAGGAGUAUUCUCAAACAGCAAGUGGUGAGACAUAAAAACAGAAAUAGACAACUUUGAAUGUUUGAGUAUGGCUCAGCAGAAAAAUCGCAAAUGUUCUGUUUGGAGAAAAUCAAUAAUUGCCUUAAUGGUGAUAGCAGCAGUCUCUCUCUUUGUAGUUGCAUUUCAUCUCUCUAAUGAGGCCAAUGAACUAUUGCUUCCAAACUCCAUCGGGCAGUCACGGAUAAGUCACCUGCUGUUAUCUUAUAGACAGAGAAGACAUGUCAAAAUUCAUGAUGGAUAUGUACAUGUACAAACC